UUGAUCAAUUACAAUUUUAUUCGCCAGAGAACUACGAGCGUCAGCUUAAAACCCAAAGGACUUGGCGGUGCCCCAUACCUCCUAGAGGAGCCUGUUCUAUAAUCGAUAAUCCACGAUAUACCUCACCGUUUCUUGCCAAACCCGCCUAUAUACCGCCGUCUCCAACUUACCCUUUGAGGGAUUUACAGUAAGUUCAAAGAUUACUCAUCAGAACGUCAGGUCAAGGUGUAGCGAAUGAAACGGAAAGAAAUGGGCUACAUUUUCUACCUUAGACUACACGGACAAUCAUUAUGAAACCUGAUUAUGAAGGAGGAUUUAGCAGUAAAAAGAAAUCAGCAAGUUCUUUUUAAGUCGGACCUGGGGCGCGUACACACCGCCCGUCACCCUCUUCAACUCAUUUUACCCUAUUUUAUAAUAAAAUAACCAGAGAUAAGAAGAGGCAAGUCGUAACAUGGUAAGUGUACCGGAAGGUGUACUUGGAAC
rnacentral:rRNA from 1 species